AAAUCUUCGGGCUUAACCCGAAAUCUGCAAAAGAAACUAUUUAUCUUGAGUAUGGUAGAGGUAGAGGGAAUUUCCAGUGGAGCGGUGAAAUGCGUAGAUAUUGGAAAGAACACCAACAGCGAAGGCACUCUACUGGGCCAUUACUGACACUCAGAGACGAAAGCUAGGGGAGCAAACGGGAUUAGAUACCCCGGUAGUCCUAGCUGUAAACGAUGGAUACUAGAUGUUGUUUAUCCUCUGGAUAGGCAGUGUCGUAGCUAACGCGUUAAGUAUCCCGCCUGGGAAGUAUGCUCGCAAGAGUGAAACACAAAGGAAUUGAC
rnacentral:rRNA from 1 species